rnacentral:rRNA from 1 species
AUUAGCUAGUUGGUGAGGUAAUGGCUCACCAAGGCGACGAUCCCUAGCUGGUCUGAGAGGAUGAUCAGCCACACUGGAACUGAGACACGGUCCAGACUCCUACGGGAGGCAGCAGUGGGGAAUAUUGCACAAUGGGCGAAAGCCUGAUGCAGCCAUGCCGCGUGUAUGAAGAAGGCCUUCGGGUUGUAAAGUACUUUCAGUUGUGAGGAAGGGGGUGUUGUUAAUAGCAACAUCUCUUGACGUUAGCAACAGAAGAAGCACCGGCUAACUCCGUGCCAGCAGCCGCGGUAAUACGGAGGGUGCGAGCGUUAAUCGGAAUUACUGGGCGUAAAGCGCAUGCAGGUGGUUCAUUAAGUCAGAUGUGAAAGCCCGGGGCUCAACCUCGGAACUGCAUUUGAAACUGGUGAACUAGAGUACUGUAGAGGGGGGUAGAAUUUCAGGUGUAGCGGUGAAAUGCGUAGAGAUCUGAAGGAAUACCAGUGGCGAAGGCGGCCCCCUGGACAGAUACUGACACUCAGAUGCGAAAGCGUGGGGAGCAAACAGGAUUAGAUACCC